AUGAACGCUAGCGGGAGGCCUAACACAUGCAAGCCGAGCGGUAUAAUUCUUUCGGGAAUUAGAGAGCGGCGCACGGGUGCGGAACACGUGUGCAACCUGCCUUUAUCUGGGGGAUAGCCUUCCGAAAGGGAGAUUAAUACCCCAUAAUAUAUUGACUGGCAUCAGUUAAUAUUGAAAACUCCGGUGGAUAGAGAUGGGCACGCGCAAGAUUAGAUAGUUGGUGAGGUAACGGCUCACCAAGUCAGUGAUCUUUAGGGGGCCUGAGAGGGUGAUCCCCCACACUGGUACUGAGACACGGACCAGACUCGUACGGGAGGCAGCGGUGAGGAAUAUUGGGCAAUGGGUGAGAGCCUGAUCCAGCCAUCCCGCGUGAAGGACGACGGCCCUAUGGGUUGUAAACUUCUUUUGUACAGGGAUAAACCUAGAUACGUGUAUCUAGCUGAAGGUACUGUACGAAUAAGCACCGGCUAACUCCGUGCCAGCCGCCGCCGUAAAAC
rnacentral:rRNA from 1 species